rnacentral:rRNA from 1 species
UGCAGUCGAACGGCAGCACAGUAAGAGCUUGCUCUUAUGGGUGGCGAGUGGCGGACGGGUGAGGAGUACAUCGGACUCUACUCUUUCGUGGGGGAUAACGUAGGGAAACUUACGCUAAUACCGCAUACGACCUACGGGUGAAAGCGGAAGACCUUCGGGCUUCGCGCGAUUGAAUGAGCCGAUGUCAGAUUAGCUAGUUGGCGGGGUAAAGGCCCACCAGCGCUACUAUCCGUAUCUGGUCUGAGAGGAUGAUCACCCACACUGGAACUGAGACACGGUCCACACUCCUACGGGAGGCAGCAGUGGGGAAUAUUGGACAAUGGGCGCACGCCUGAUCCACCCAUGCCGCGUGUGUGAAGAACGCCUUCGGGUUGUAAAGCCCUUUUGUUGGGAAAGAAAAGCAGUCGGUUAAUACCCGAUUGUUCUGACGGUACCCAAAGAAUACGCACCGGCUAACUUCGUGCCAGCAGCCGCGGUAAUACAAAGGGUGCACGCGUUACUCGGAAUUACUGGGCGUAAAGCGUGCGUACGUGGUGGUUUAAGUCUGUUGUGAAAGCCCUGGGCUCAACCUGGGAAUUGCAGUGGAUACUGGGUCACUAGAGUGUGGUAGAGGGUAGCGGAAUUCCCGGUGUAGCAGUGAAAUGCGUAGAGAUCGGGAGGAACAUCCGUGGCGAACGCGGCUACCUGGACCAACACUGACACUGAGGCACGAAAGCGUGGGGAGCAAACAGGAUUAGAUACCCUGGUAGUCCACGCCCUAAACGAUGCGAACUGGAUGUUGGGUGCAAUUUGGCACGCACUAUCGAAGCUAACGCGUUAAGUUCGCCGCCUGGGGAGUACGGUCGCAAGACUGAAACUCAAAGGAAUUGACGGGGGCCCGCACAAGCGGUGGAAUAUGUGGUUUAUUUCUAUGCAACGCGAAGAACCUUACCUGGUCUUGACAUCCACGGAACUUUCCAAAGAUGGAUUGGUGCCUUCGGGAACCGUGAAACAGGUGCUGCAUGGCUGUCCUCAGCUCGUGUCCUG